UAUUCACUUCAUGGUAUCAGAGCCAUGUUGGAGAAGAAAUUUUUUUUGAGAAAACCAUUAGAAUCAUUACUGUGGAGUUAGGUCUGACAUUUGUCUCAUCGCCCACCCAGGAAGGAAGACCCCUUGCCGGCGACCUCACCCAAAAAAUUCGAUCACCAGAAGGCCGGCAAGUGAGUCUCAUGAGCCGGCACAAGUUCCUGUCGCUG
rnacentral:misc_RNA from 1 species